AUUUUAUUAGUAUAAUAGUAUAUCUAACUUCCAAUUAGAAGGAUUGACUAGUCAAAUAAAAUA
rnacentral:tRNA from 1 species